rnacentral:misc_RNA from 1 species
GAUGAAGAACGCAGCGAAAUGCGAUACGUAAUGUGAAUUGCAAAUUCAGUGAAUCAUCGAGUCUUUGAACGCACAUUGCGCCCCCUGGUAUUCCGGGGGCAUGCCUGUCCGAGCGUCAUUGCUGCCCUCAAGCACGGCUUGUGUGUUGGGCCCCGUCCUCCGAUCCCGGGGGACGGGCCCGAAAGGCAGCGGCGGCACCGCGUCCGGUCCUCGAGCGUAUGGGGCUUUGUCACCCGCUCUGUAGGCCCGGCCGGCGCUUGCCGAUCAACCCAAAUUUUUUAUCCAGGUUGACCUCGGAUCAGGUAGGGAUACCCGCUGAACUUAAGCAUAUCAAUAAGCGGAGGA